CCGGUUGAUCCUGCCGGAGGUUACUGCUAUCGGUGUUCGAUUAAGCCAUGCGAGUCAAAUGUUCUUCGUGAACAUGGCGUAUUGCUCAGUAACACGUGGAUAACCUGCCCUUAGGUUGGGGAUAACUCCGGGAAACUGGAGAUAAUACCCUAUAGCUCAAUUCUGCUGGAAGGCUUUUUGAGUCAAAGAUUUUUCGCCUAAGGAUGGGUCUACGGCCUAUCAGGUUGUAGUGGGUGUAACGUACCUACUAGCCUAUGACGGGUACGGGUUGUGAGAGCAAGAGCCCGGAGAUGGAUUCUGAGACAUGAAUCCAGGCCCUACGGGGCGCAGCAGGCGCGAAAACUUUACAAUGCGGGAAACCGUGAUAAGGGGACACCGAGUGCCAUCAUCAUAUGAUGGCUGUCCACAUGUGUAAACAACAUGUGUUAGCAAGGGCCGGGCAAGACCGGUGCCAGCCGCCGCGGUAACACCGGCGGCCCGAGUGGUAGCCGCUAUUAUUGGGUCUAAAGGGUCCGUAGCCGGUCGAAUCAGUCUUUUGGGAAAUCUGAUAGCUCAACUAUCAGGCUUUCAAGGGAUACUGUUCGACUUGGAACCGGGAGAGGUAAGAGGUACUACAGGGGUAGGAGUGAAAUCUUGUAAUCCUUGUGGGACCACCUGUGGCGAAGGCGUCUUACCAGAACGGGUUCGACGGUGAGGGACGAAAGCUAGGGGCACGAACCGGAUUAGAUACCCGGGUAGUCCUAGCCGUAAACGAUGCUCGCUAGGUGUCAGGUAUGGUGUGACCGUAUCUGGUGCCGUAGGGAAGCCGGGAAGCGAGCCACCUGGGAAGUACGGCCGCAAGGCUGAAACUUAAAGGAAUUGGCGGGGGAGCACAACAACGGGUGGAGCCUGCGGUUUAAUUGGAUUCAACGCCGG
rnacentral:rRNA from 1 species